rnacentral:rRNA from 1 species
CCUACGGGGGGCAGCAGUGAGGAAUAUUGGUCAAUGGGCGUAAGCCUGAACCAGCCAAGUAGCGUGAGGGAUGAAGGUUCUAUGGAUCGUAAACCUCUUUUAUAAGGGAAUAAAGUGCGGGACGUGUCCCGUUUUGUAUGUACCUUAUGAAUAAGGAUCGGCUAACUCCGUGCCAGCAGCCGCGGUAAUACGGAGGAUCCGAGCGUUAUCCGGAUUUAUUGGGUUUAAAGGGUGCGUAGGCGGCUUUUUAAGUCAGCUGUGAAAGUUUGUGGCUCAACCGUAAAAUUGCCAUUGAUACUGGGAGGCUUGAGUACAGUUGAGGUAGGCGGAAUGCGUGGUGUAGCGGUGAAAUGCUUAGAUAUCACGCAGAACCCCGAUUGCGAAGGCAGCCUGCCAAGCCAUGACUGACGCUGAUGCACGAAAGUGUGGGGAUCAAACAGGAUUAGAUACCCUGGUAGUC